GAAAUCCCAUGAGCUUUAAUAGGACUAUUCUCCAUCACAUAAUUGUGUUGUUAAAAGCCAGGAAUGACAUGCUAACUGUCCAUGCUAGAAGGCCUUCAUCUUGCAUUAUCCAGCAGAUUCAUCAAGGUAUGAUGCUAUGCCUUCAGUUAUGAAUACAAAGCUUUUCAUCACUUUUCUCAGUUUUUAAGAUUGCAAAGUGAAAACCCUUGUUCAUCUUUUAUUUUUGACCCCAGACUCUCAAGAGGAUUUGAGCAGUGAACUAGGGUGUGCUUCAGUGGGUACAUGAUGUCAGACAGUGGGCUACUGAGGGAUUCUGUAGGUACCAGAUGUGAUGACCAACAUAACCUUCAGAAAUCAACUGAACAAAUGUUUCUAGCCUUUAUAAUCAGACUGAAUCCAGCAACAUCCUCACCAAGAAGAAGAGUUUGAUGCGUACAUGUCAAAAGUGUGUCUUGAAGAGGAAAGAAUGAUUGUGAUGAGGGAGAUGAGACAGCACUGCACCGAGCUCAGAAAGAUGGCUGGGAACAUCAGGGCAAUGACAUCAGAAAUGAACUUUUGUUACACCUUCUUGUGUGUGAAGCUUUUGGGGAGACUGGGUUCCUACCCAACCACUGUUAUAUGUCCUUUUC